rnacentral:RNase_P_RNA from 1 species
GAAGUUGACUAGGCAGUCGCUCGCUGUGCGGCUGAGGUUCGGGAUAUCCGAAUUUUGGCGGUGGCGAGAGGAAAGUCCGGGCUCCACAGAGCAGGGUGCCGGCUAACAGCCGGACGCCGCGAGGCGAUGGAAAGUGGCACAGAAAAUAUACCGCCGAUGGCCGCAAGGUACAGGUAAGGUUGAAAAGGUGCUCUCCGUAAGGAGAGGGCAGGUGUGAACCUGUCGGGUAAGAGCCCACCGCACUGGUGGCAACAUUCAGUGGCAGGCUAAACCCCACCCGGAGCAAGACCAAAUAGGGAAACAUUGGCGCUGCUCGCGUUGUUUCCGGGUAGGUUGCUCGAGCGCCGUGGCAACGCGGCGCCUAGAUAGAUGACUGUCCACGACAGAACCCGGCUUAUCGGUCAGCUUUCACC